rnacentral:lncRNA from 1 species
CCUAUGCUGGUUACACCAUCCCAAAGGGCUGGAAGGUGUAUAUGUCACACUCAUAUAGUAAAUUUUUACAGUUUUGAAGAGUGAAAUUUAUUUUGCACAUCUGUCAAAUAAUAAUUUCUUUGCUUAGAACUAAAGUUUUUUACUUCCAUUUGUUUGCAGGUAUAUUGGACUGUUAGUACAACAAACAUGAACCCAGAGUACUUUCCCAACCCAGAAAAGUUUGACCCCUCAAGAUAUGAAGACUUGAAUGCAUUCCCAGCUUUCACAUUUGUUCCAUUUGGAGGAGGACCAAGAAUGUGCCCUGGCAAAGAGUAUGCAAGGCUAGCCAUACUCACUUUUGUUCACAAUGUGGUGAUGAGGUUCAAAU